rnacentral:tRNA from 1 species
GACCCCGUAGCUCAGCUGGUAGAGCACACGACUUUUAAUCGCGAGGCCGCGGGUUCGAAUCCCGCCGGGGUCACCA